GCUGCUCUGCCCGUCUUUAUUUGCAUAAGGCUGGCGAAGGCCUGGCAGCCGCGCCGAGGGAGGAAGCGCCCAGGCGCUGCGAUGCCCUUGGAAUUUUGCGGAUCUCCCGCGAGGCGAAGGAGCCGCAGGCCCGCAGGGGAGGGGAAAGGCCCGCGGGCUCCCCGACCGUCCAGCAGGGCAGCAACCUACGCCGACUCGGGUUCCCCCGGGUGGUUUCCAAGGUACUAAUUGGUUUAAUUUCUACCCUGCUGAUGAAUAUAUACUAUGACUUUGAGCAGCUGGUUCAUGCUUUAAGAUGUAUGGACUUCAACUCCCAGAAUUCUCCAGCCAAGGUUGAGAAACUCCAU